GACGAACGCUGGCGGCGUGCUUAACACAUGCAAGUCGAACGAUGAAGUUCCUUCGGGAAUGGAUUAGUGGCGAACGGGUGAGGAACACGUGAGAAACCUGCCUUUCAUUUUGGGAUAACUCCGGGAAACCGGGGCUAAAACCGAAUACUCCGUCUCGGCGGCAUCGCCGAGCCGGGAAAAAAUUUUGAUGAAAGAUGGUCUCGCGGCCUAUCAGCUAGUUGGUGAGGUAAUGGCUCACCAAGGCAACGACGGGUAGCCGGCCUGGGAGGGCGACCGGCCACACUGGGGCUGAGACACGGCCCAGACUCCUACGGGAGGCAGCAGUGGGGAAUAUUGGGCAAUGGGCGCAAGCCUGACCCAGCGACGCCGCGUGAGGGAUGAAGGCCUUCGGGUUGUAAACCUCUUUCAGUAGGGAAGAAGCGAAAGUGACGGUACCUAAAGAAGAAGCACUGGCUAACUAUGUGCCAGCCGCCGCCGUAA
rnacentral:rRNA from 1 species